AUUGAACGCUGGCGGCAGGCCUAACACAUGCAAGUCGAGCGAGCGGCGGACGGGUGAGUAAUGUAUGGGGACUGCCCGAUAGAGGGGGAUAACUACUGGAAACGGUGGCUAAUACCGCAUACUAUCGGAUAACCCAUAGGGGAUUAGCUAGUAGGUGGGGUAAAGGCUCACCUAGGCGACGAUCUCUAGCUGGUCUGAGAGGAUGAUCAGCCAAACUGGGACUGAGACACGGCCCACAGUCCUACGGAGGCAGAAGUGGGUAAUAUUGCACAAUGGGCGCAAGCCUGAUACAGCCAUGCCGCGUGUAUGAAGACGGCCCUAGGGUCGUAAAGUACUUCCGGUGGGGAGGCGUUACCCGCAGAAGAAGCACCGGCUAACCCCGUGCCAGCCGCCGCGGUAAUUC
rnacentral:rRNA from 1 species